rnacentral:rRNA from 1 species
UACGUAGGUGGCAAGCGUUGUCCGGAUUUACUGGGCGUAAAGAGCGCGCAGGCGGUCGAUCAAGUCGCGUGUGAAAGCCCCCCGGCUCAACUGGGGAGGGUCACGCGAUACUGAUCGACUCGAAGGCAGGAGAGGGUAGUGGAAUUCCCGGUGUAGUGGUGAAAUGCGUAGAUAUCAGGAGGAACACCGGUGGCGAAGGCGGCUUUCUGGACAGUAACCGACGCUGAGGCACGAAAGCUAGGGGAGCAAACAGG